rnacentral:rRNA from 1 species
GAUGAACGCUGGCGGCGUGCUUAACACAUGCAAGUCGAACGAAACACCUUAUUUGAUUUUCUUCGGAACUGAAGAUUUGGUGAUUGAGUGGCGGACGGGUGAGUAACGCGUGGGUAACCUGCCCUGUACAGGGGGAUAACAGUCAGAAAUGACUGCUAAUACCGCAUAAGACCACAGCACCGCAUGGUGCAGGGGUAAAAACUCCGGUGGUACAGGAUGGACCCGCGUCUGAUUAGCUGGUUGGUGAGGUAACGGCUCACCAAGGUGACGAUCAGUAGCCGGCUUGAGAGAGUGAACGGCCACAUUGGGACUGAGACACGGCCCAAACUCCUACGGGAGGCAGCAGUGGGGAAUAUUGCACAAUGGGGGAAACCCUGAUGCAGCGACGCCGCGUGAGUGAAGAAGUAUUUCGGUAUGUAAAGCUCUAUCAGCAGGGAAGAAAAUGACGGUACCUGACUAAGAAGCCCCGGCUAACUACGUG